rnacentral:rRNA from 1 species
AGAGAUGCCUUGGUGCCUUCGGGAACGCUGAGACAGGUGCUGCAUGGCUGUCGUCAGCUCGUGUUGUGAAAUGUUGGGUUAAGUCCCGNAACGAGCGCAACCCUUAUCCUUUGUUGCCAGCGAUUCGGUCGGGAACUCAAAGGAGACUGCCGGUGAUAAACCGGAGGAAGGUGGGGAUGACGUCAAGUCAUCAUGGCCCUUACGAGUAGGGCUACACACGUGCUACAAUGGCGCAUACAAAGAGAAGCGACCUCGCGAGAGCAAGCGGACCUCAUAAAGUGCGUCGUAGUCCGGAUCGGAGUCUGCAACUCGACUCCGUGAAGUCGGAAUCGCUAGUAAUCGUGGAUCAGAAUGCCACGGUGAAUACGUUCCCGGGCCUUGUACACACCGCCCGUCACACCAUGGGAGUGGGUUGCAAAAGAAGUAGGUAGCUUAACCUUCGGGAGGGCGCUUACCACUUUGUGAUUCAUGACUGGGGUGAAGUCGUAACAAGGUAAGCGUAGCGAG